CAGCGAAAGAGGGCUUUGGCUAUCAUUACUUUUCAUCCUUGAAGUCUCCAGCAAAGUCUCAUUCCCCUGCAGGCCUUGCCCCUUCCAUUUCCUUCUCACCUGUCCUCUUUUUCACCCUCUUCUCUUUGCUCUUCAUGCUUGCUGUCCCCCAGGACUCUGAGGAGGAAGUCCAGUAGGGUCAAAGGCUUCUCACCAGGCCUCUCACCAGCCCCUCAUCUGGCCCUGUACACCUGUAACACCCCUGAAUCCUCCUCAGGGUACUUCUCUGAGGAUGACUCUGCAGGGCACUCCGUUAUCCACCAGCCUGGCUCUGCAUCCACCUCCAAUAAUGGUGCCUCCCAAGUUGGCAUCUUUAACUGGAUGGCAAUAUACAUUUCAGGUUGGCUCUUUGCAGCAUUCCAGUGGUGCCUGGGAAACGCCUGGCACUGCCUGACCACAGCUGCCUCCCUCCAGGAUUUCUUUCUGUUAAUCAGGAGCUCUCCCCUCAAUAGUUCCUGCCUCUGAUCACAACUGAGUCUGGAGCUUUUUCACUCGGAAGAAGUUGCUCCUCUUUGUCUUGGGGAUGCUGUUCUUUGUGGCUUCGCUGGCUUAUGGUGAGCCUUGUGGAGUGCCCAGGUCGGCCACUCCAGAUGGGGGCGAAGGACAAGGGUUUGGGGA
rnacentral:lncRNA from 1 species